rnacentral:rRNA from 1 species
UGAAACGACUGCUAAGACUGGAUAGGAGACAAGAAGGCAUCUUUUUGUUUUUAAAAGACCUAGCAAUAGGUAUGCUUAGGGAGGAGCUUGCGUCACAUUAGUUAGUUGGUGGGGUAAAGGCUUACCAAGACUAUGAUGUGUAGCCGGGCUGAGAGGUUGAACGGCCACAUUGGGACUGAGACACGGCCCAAACUCCUACGGGAGGCAGCAGUAGGGAAUUUUCGGCAAUGGAGGAAACUCUGACCGAGCAACGCCGCGUGAACGAUGAAGUAUUUCGGUACGUAAAGUUCUUUUAUUAGGGAAGAAUAAAUGAUGGAAAAAUCAUUCUGACGGUACCUAAUGAAUAAGCCCCGGCUAACUAUGUGCCAGCAGCCGCGGUAAUACAUAGGGGGCAAGCGUUAUCCGGAAUUAUUGGGCGUAAAGGGUGCGUAGGCGGUUAAAUAAGUUUAUGGUCUAAGUGCAAUGCUUAACAUUGUGAUGCUAUAAAAACUGUUUAGCUAGAGUAAGAUAGAGGCAAGUGGAAUUCCAUGUGUAGUGGUAAAAUGCGUAAAUAUAUGGAGGAACACCAGUAGCGAAGGCGGCUUGCUGGGUCUUUACUGACGCUGAGGCACGAAAGCGUGGGGAGCAAACAGGAUUAGAUACCCUGGUAGUCCACGCCGUAAACGAUGAGUACUAAAUGUUGGGUAAAACCAGUGUUGAAGUUAACACAUUAAGUACUCCGCCUGAGUAGUACGUACGCAAGUAUGAAACUUAAAGGAAUUGACGGGACUCCGCACAAGCGGUGGAUCAUGUUGUUUAAUUCGAAGGUACCCGAAAAACCUCACCAGGUCUUGACAUGCUUCUGCAAAGCUGUAGAAACACAGUGGAGGUUAUCAGUUGCACAGGUGGUGCAUGGUUGUCGUCAGCUCGUGUCGUGAGAUGUUGGGUUAAGUCCCGCAACGAGCGCAACCCUUAUUGUUAGUUGCCAGCACGUAAUGGUGGGGACUUUAGCAAGACUGCCAGUGAUAAAUUGGAGGAAGGUGGGGACGACGUCAAAUCAUCAUGCCCCUUAUGACCUGGGCUACAAACGUGAUACAAUGGCUGUUACAAAGGGUAGCUGAAACGUAAGUUUUUGGCGAAUCUCAAAAAAACAGUCUCAGUUCGGAUUGAAGUCUGCAACUCGACUUCAUGAAGUUGGAAUCGCUAGUAAUCGCGAAUCAGCAUGUCGCGGUGAAUACGUUCUCGGGGUUUGUA